rnacentral:rRNA from 1 species
AAAAGCUCGUAGUUGGAUCUCAGCUCCGGCCGGACGGUCCGCCUACCGGUGGUUACUGUUCGUCGCCGAGCGUUCAGGCGGUUAUUCUUGAUGAUCUUCACCGGUUGUCUCGGGUGACCGCCAAGUUUACUUUGAAAAAAUUAGAGUGCUCAAAGCAGGCGCGACGCCUGAAUAAUUGUGCAUGGAAUAAUGGAAUAGGACCUCGGUUCUAUUUUGUUGGUUUUCGGAACGCGAGGUAAUGAUUAAGAGGGACAGACGGGGGCAUUCGUAUUGCGACGCUAGAGGUGAAAUUCUUGGACCGUCGCAAGACGAACUACUGCGAAAGCAUUUGCCAAGAAUGUUUCCAUUAAUCAAGAACGAAAGUUAGAGGUUCGAAGGCGAUCAGAUACCGCCCUAGUUCUAACCAUAAACGAUGUCAGCCAGCAAUCCGCCUGUGUUCCUCAAAUGACACGGCGGGCGGCUUCCGGGAAACCAAAGCUUUUGGGUUCCGGGGGAAGUAUGGUUGCAAAGCUGAAACUUAAAGGAAUUGACGGAAGGGCACCACCAGAAAUGGAGCCUGCGGCUUAAUUUGACUCAACACGGGGAAACUUACCCGGCCCGGACACAGGAAGGAUUGACAGAUUAAGAGCUCUUUCUUGAUUCUGUGGGUGGUGGUGCAUGGCCGUUCUUAGUUGGUGGGGCGACUUGUCUGGUUAAUUCCGAUAACGAACGAGACUCUAGCCUACUAAAUAGACGUUCCGAUCCUCUUUCGUCGGACGUUCUUCUUAGAGGGACAAGCGGCGUCUAGCCGCACGAGACAGAGCAAUAACAGGUCUGGGAUGCCCUUAGAUGUCCGGGGCCGCACGCGCGCUACAUUGAAGGAACCAGCGUGUGCUUUCCCUAUCCGUCAGGAUUGGGUAACCCGUUGAACCUCCUUCGUGCUUGGGAUUGGCAAUUGUAAUUUUUCCAUGAACGAGGAAUUCCCAGUAAGCGCGAGUCAUCAGCUCGUGUUGAUUACGUCCCUGCCCUUUGUCCACACCGCCCGUCGCUACUACCGAUUGAAUGAUUUAGUGAGGUCUUCAGACUGGCGCUCGGAUUGGCCUUCGCGGUCGAGCCGGUGUGCCGGAAAGAUGACCAAACUUGAUCAUUUAGAGGAAGUAAAAGUCGUAACAAGGUUUU